UAAGUAUGACAAUUUCCUUGCCAGCGUACCCCAUGUUGCAGUGACAUUGAAUGUACUUAACCUUGCUCAAGGACCAAGGCAGAUUAGGGUGUUCCCGGUUUUAAGAUAAUCUUGUUUAGGGCGUUCCCAGUUUAGGUUCCAGGUUUAAGGUUUAAGAUUAUUCCUGCUGGGAAUAGGGCGUAUCCUGCUGCCUGAGUUCCCCUUGAGUUCUCACGGGAUUCAGACAGUAUAUUUUGGAGAUAGAAGCCCAGUGGAGGUGAUUUUGGGAGAGAAGGUGGAUUUGGGCAGAGAACGUGGAUUUCCCCAGAACGUGAUUGUAGACGGCUGGUGUGAGUUCGGGAAUAAAGAGUUGCUGUUUGAAUCUACAAGCUGUGUGGUGGCUCGUGAUUGUGUGCCCAGCCAGACUGCGGCAUUUGGUGGCCCGUACGGGGAACUUCUGAAGCUUAGAGGGAGAACAGCAGCCCAUUUGGAUUCCAGAGAGAUUAACUAAAACAGUUUCUACAGAUCGAAAAGAAGAUGAUUUGACUCAAAUCCAUAACAGCUGAUAUCCAGAACUCCAGCUUGGCCAUUCUUACAUCUGCGACAGUGAUUAACCAGGAUGCUUUUUUCAAUAGCUAUUUUAUUAUUGCAUUUUUCCACAUCAUAAGGUUCUAUUUUUAUUUUUUGAGCUCAUACAAACCUAGGUUAAUGUUUUUCUGAUCAGUUUUAUUUUUUGACUGUGGAGUUUUUAAACAUUGCAAUGGAGAUUUCACCCAGGAUAAUGUCUCUUUAGCAUCAUUGCCAGAAUUCCUAUCUCCAUCCCAGUGCCAGUGAAGAACUCAACAAGUAAUGCUCAAUCAAAGAGUCAACUUACUUUGGGAGGAAACGGAUUUUGGGAGGAAAUGGACAUAUUGAUAGAUUCCUCUGCUUUGAACUGCUUGCAGAACUUGCCUGGACUAUGUAACUAUCGUUUGGUGCAGCGAAUUGUGGUAAUGCUGGCAUAUCUUUGCUGAUGGUGUCACUAGUGAUGCAAUUUUUAUUUCCUUGCCAGCGCACCCCAUGUUAAUUGUGGUAGUGCUGACAUAUCUUUGCUGAUGGUGUCACCAGUGAUGCAAUUUUUCCCAAGGAGCCGUCAAUUGGCUUGGUGUCGUGGCAUUUCUGUAUCCUCCUCCCUUCUGCUAGUGAUGGUCUAAAAUUUGGGGGCCAAUGGCUUAUGCUGGACCGGUAGUCAGUGACGGGUAUGAUCCAAUUGCAGUGGUAUCAACCUAAGACAGGAGGCUGACGCCUAAAGGUCAGUUUUCCGAUGACGGGUAAGAACCAUAUGUUGAAUUGGACAACCUACCAGGCACGGUCCAUAAGCCACAUUAACCUCACUCCCCCACUGGCACCAAGGCCAAAUUUGGGGGCCAACAGAGGUGAGGCAAAGAACCUCACCCCCCCACUGGUGCAUAGACCUAUCCACAAGUAUGGCUGUAUGCUGGACCGGUAGUCAGUGACGGGUAUGAUUCAAUUGCAGUGGUAUCAACCUAAGACAGGAGGCUGACGCCUAAAGGUCAGUUUUCCGAUGACGGGUAAGAACCAUAUGUUGAAUUGGACAACCUACCAGGCACGGUCCUUAAGCCGCAUUGCUUGUUGUUUAAUUAAUCAGAAGGGGGGAGAUGCUGGGAGCCAUUAGCCAAGUAAGUAUGACAAUUUCCUUGCCAGCGUACCCCAUGUUGCAGUGACAUUGAAUGUACUUAACCUUGCUCAAGGACCAAGGCAGAUUAGGGUGUUCCCGGUUUUAAGAUAAUCUUGUUUAGGGCGUUCCCAGUUUAGGUUCCAGGUUUAAGGUUUAAGAUUAUUCCUGCUGGGAAUAGGGCGUAUCCUGCUGCCUGAGUUCCCCUUGAGUUCUCACGGGAUUCAGACAGUAUAUUUUGGAGAUAGAAGCCCAGUGGAGGUGAUUUUGGGAGAGAAGGUGGAUUUGGGCAGAGAACGUGGAUUUCCCCAGAACGUGAUUGUAGACGGCUGGUGUGAGUUCGGGAAUAAAGAGUUGCUGUUUGAAUCUACAAGCUGUGUGGUGGCUCGUGAUUGUGUGCCCAGCCAGACUGC